AAAAGGAAAAAAAAACGAAAAA
rnacentral:sRNA from 1 species